rnacentral:rRNA from 1 species
CGCGGCCUAUCAGCUUGUUGGUGAGGUAACGGCUCACCAAGGCAUCGACGGGUAGCUGGUCUGAGAGGACGAUCAGCCACACUGGGACUGAGACACGGCCCAGACUCCUGCGGGAGGCAGCAGUGGGGAAUCUUGCGCAAUGGGCGAAAGCCUGACGCAGCAACGCCGCGUGGGGGAUGAAGGCUCUCGGGUUGUAAACCCCUUUCAGCAGGGACGAAAAUGACGGUACCUGUAGAAGAAGCCCCGGCCAACUACGUGCCAGCAGCCGCGGUAACACGUAGGGGGCGAGCGUUGUCCGGAAUUAUUGGGCGUAAAGGGCUCGUAGGCGGUUCAGUAAGUCAGAUGUGAAAGGUUGGGGCUCAACCCUAAGACUGCAUUUGAUACUGCUGUGACUGGAGUCCGGUAGAGGAGUGUGGAAUUCCUGGUGUAGCGGUGAAAUGCGCAGAUAUCAGGAGGAACACCGACGGCGAAGGCAGCACUCUGGGCCGGUACUGACGCUGAGGAGCGAAAGCGUGGGUAGCAAACAGGAUUAGAUACCCUGGUAGUCCACGCCGUAAACGUUGGGCACUAGGUGUGGGGUCUUAUCAACGGAUUCCGUGCCGAAGCUAACGCAUUAAGUGCCCCGCCUGGGGAGUACGG